CGCGUAGGCGGUCUUGUCGGUCAGAUGUGAAAGCCCGGGGCUCAACCCUGGAAGUGCAUUUGAAACAGCAAGACUUGAAUACUGGAGAGGAGAGCGGAAUUCCUGGUGUAGAGGUGAAAUUCGUAGAUAUCAGGAGGAACACCGAUGGCGAAGGCAGCUCUCUGGACAGAUAUUGACGCUGAGGCGCGAAGGUGUGGGUAGCGAACAGGAUUAGAUACCCUGGUAGUCC
rnacentral:rRNA from 1 species